AUGAGCUGGAGAGGAAGAGGAGCAGGUUCUACUUUAGGAAGGUUGGAAACAUCUCAGGCUAACAGCAUCCUGAAAGCAGUGGCGAUCCUGGGGGAGCGGGCAAUGCCUCGAGCUCAGACUUGCCCCAUGGGACCACAGCCUUUGGGGGAGCAGGCGUGGCAGCUGACGGACACCACCAUCUGGCUGCGGCGGAACUGCCUCAUCCAGCGGAGGAUGCACAGCCACUCAGUGGGAACCAAAAACCUGGACCAGGGGAGGUUGCCGCCCCCCCAUGUGGACAUGGCAUGGAACGUGUGUGCGGAAAAGGAGUAUGAGAAAAGAGGAAGACAGCUGUUGGAUAUGGAGACUUUCAAAUGCAUAAUGAAGCAGAGCAUGAGGUUACAGAAUAAAAGUACUGAACAAAUAGAACAACUUUUCAUGAAAAUAGACUAUGAAGCAGUGGGCAGAAUUCAUUGGGAUGGCUUCUGCACAUAUCUGCAGUUAGCAUAUUCGGAGCAAGCUGAUGCUUUGGCUCGACAGAAAGAGGUUUCCUUCCAGCUGCCUGCUGUGCUGCAGGGACUGUCGUACGGGGGACCCGUGCUGCGCAUUCUCUCUGUGCCUGAUGACACCUUAAUCAUGAUCAGAGAAGAUGGAGCCAUUUAUUUCUGGUCCCUGCAGCUGAAGUUGAAAAGAAGAAAGCGAGUUUUUGACAAGCCCAUCAUUCGGAAGCGCCGGUGGGUGACGGAUGCCACCAGCAUGCCACAGUACAACAAACUGAUCCUAGGAACUGGGUGAGUGCCUGCAGCUCUUCAACUGGGAAGUGAAUAAUUGUUGGGCUGUGAAAUUCAUUUCCAUGUGUGGGUUUACACACACACACACACACACACACACACACACACACAUUUGUAGUAAUAGGAUAAAGUAUGAAGCCCUUUAAAGAAUAUAGUAGAACUCAUACAUCCAUCAAAACUGCCAUGCAAAGCUAUCACUUUGAGGCAAUAAUAUUGUCCUUGCCUCAAACUGAUGGGGUCCUCUUUUGGAAUACUUCCAGAGUGAGAAAAAAAUAGCCCCCUUUAUUUUAGAUUUAAAAUAACAUUCCUAUUUUAUUAUCCAUCAAAAUUUAAUACAGAGUGCUUUGGGUGAUUUAAAAAAUAAAAUCCCCAGUAAAGGAAAAACUAUACUCACUGCUGAGGCGUCUAAGGAGAAUGUAUCUCAGGCUGGGAAGAAAGAUCCUGAAGGUUUUGAUCAAUGGGAUCAUGAUGAAAAUGAAUGUGCAGCAUCCUGGGUGCUGUGCAGCAUCCUGGGUGCUGCGGAGCAACCUCAGUAAUGGGCCAAGGUGAGGGGGUCAAGGUUAAAGCAAAAGCGCAUUCAAUACUGCAGUGGUGUCCUAGCUGAGGAAUUAGGCUGUUUAGCAGGGGGCUGGGGGUGUGGGUAAAUGAAGGGGCAGGGCUUGAAGGUGGUUCCCUCGCCCUGCCUACUGCCUUCUCCCCCCUCAAACUCCUCCCAAGCCCAGACUUGUCUGCUUUAGCAGCCCUGCUUCCCUAGGCUUCAACCACCUUAGCCAACUGUUAAUACAACCUCUGGUCAUCCAGGCUAUUAAACACAAUUAAAUUUAAUGUUAAGUUUAAUUAUUAAAAUAUAUUCAUCAAUAUAUUAAUAUAUUAGUAUAGUUAAUAUUAACCAUUUAAAAGCAACACAUUUGGAUUUCUAAAUUCAGGCCAGUUUGAUUUUAAGAAGCAUGCACAGUAACUUUAUCACAUCUUUUACCCACAAAGAAGUUCAGAGAUUGAAAUAGUAACUUCCUAGAGACUCUGAGCUGGCAGAUCAGAAGAUGAGGCAAGGUGGACCACAUUGGAGGCUUGGAACCACUGGAGCUGUGUGGCAGGUGCAUAGGAAGUGGAAAAGGCAUUUAACACUGAGGGCAAGGCAAGGCUUUGGAAUUUAGGGAGUGACCUGUAUGCCCCAUGGCAACAGGCUGAAGCAGUAAGUUUUUAUUACACUCACAAACUUCUUGUUCUCCUAGUUAGCUCCAGAGUGGACAAGCUAACAUAGGAGAGAAGGCGUCAAGGUCACAGGUUAGGAAGGAGAGCUAGGGGGAAACCGAGUUAACCUCUUAGUUAUAGAAAGAGGCCUCCACCCUGCACUUUGCAGAUCUAAUCAGCUUUAUUAUUUGUAACAAAAAUCAGCUCACAUUUCUGAACACUUUAGAAGUCCCGGGUCCUAGACCAACCACUCCCUCAUGCAUCCUCUCAUUUAAUCCUGGCAACUCGCCUCGAAGGCAGGAACUGCUGAGCCCCAUCUUACAGAUGAGGGAGCUGAGGUGCCAGCCACCUGAUGGGGAAGGACGGGCCCCACAGCCAAUUUAGAACCAGGCAGAAGAGAUGUCCCCAGACGGUGGAAGUGGGGAGGAGGCCGUCCAGCUCAGUGAGAGGCGGUGCUCAGGAGGGCUGUUUCUAUUUUGUGGAAUCUGUGCAAUAUAAAAAAUGCUCUACAAAAAUGAAGUAGAGGAGUUCCCGUCGUGGCGCAGUGGUUAACGAAUCCGACUAGGAACCAUGAGGUUGUGGGUUCGGUCCCUGCCCUUGCUCAGUGGGUGAACGAUCCGGCGUUGCCG
rnacentral:lncRNA from 1 species